rnacentral:misc_RNA from 1 species
GUAGGUGAACCUGCGGAAGGAUCAUUACCGUGGGGAUUCGUCCCCAUUGAGAUAGCACCCUUUGAUUAUGAGUACCCUUGUUUCCUCGGCGGGCUCGCCCGCCAGUAGGACAUCAAAAACCCUUUGUAGUAGCAGUAUCUUCAGUUAACAAAAAAUAUUAAAACUUUCAACAACGGAUCUCUUGGUUCUG